rnacentral:rRNA from 1 species
UACGUAGGCAGCGAGCGUUGUUCGGAAUUACUGGGCGUAAAGAGUGUGUAGGCGGUGCUCUAAGUUCGGUGUGAAAUCUCCUGGCUCAACUGGGAGGGUGCGCCGGAAACUGGAAUGCUAGAGGAUGGGAGAGGUAAGCGGAAUUCCUGGUGUAGCGGUGAAAUGCGUAGAUAUCUGGAGGAACACCGGUGGCGAAGGCGGCAUCCUGGACCGACACUGACGCUGAGGAGCGAAAGCCAGGGGAGCAAACGGG